AGAGUUUGAUCAUGGCUCAGGAUGAACGCUGGCGGCGUACCUAACGCAUGCAAGUCGAACGGGAGUUGAGAAGCAAUUUUCGACUCUAGUGGCAAACGGGUGAGUAACACGUGGGUAAUCUCUCCUGGAGUGGGGAAUAACGGAUCGAAAGGUUCGCUAAUACCGCAUGACCUUGAGAAAGCAAAGGUGGAUUGUAAAAUCCAUCGCUCUAGGCGGAACCUGCGGCCGAUCAGGUAGUUGGUGAGGUAACGGCUCACCAAGCCGACGACCGGUAGCUGAUCUGAGAGGAUGACCAGCCACACUGGCACUGAGACACGGGCCAGACUCCUACGGGAGGCAGCAGCGAGGAAUAUUGCGCAAUGGACGAAAGUCUGACGCAGUAACGCCGCGUGAGGGAAGACGACCUUCGGGUUGUAAACCUCUUUUUGGAAGGACGAGCGAGGACGGUACUUUCAGAAUAAGUCUCGGCUAACUACGUGCCAGCAGCCGCGGUAAGACGUAGGAGGCGAGCGUUAUCCGGAUUCACUGGGCGUAAAGGGCAUGUAGGCGGCUGUGUAAGUCGUGUGUUAAAGCCCCCGGCUCAACUGGGGGAGGUCAUGCGAGACUAUACGGCUUGAGGGCAGCAGAGGAACGUGGAACUCCCGGUGUAGCGGUGGAAUGCGUAGAGAUCGGGAAGAACACCAGUGGCGAAGGCGGCGUUCUGGGCUGCAACUGACGCUGAAAUGCGAAAGUGUGGGGAGCAAACGGGAUUAGAUACCCUAGUAGUCC
rnacentral:rRNA from 1 species